GUCAGAUGCGGCACCAUCCCCUCCUCGAUCCGUGGCAAUGCGGCUGGCCUCUGGAUCUCGGCUCGGGGGGUAUUGGGAGCGAUUGGGUCCGCAACGUCGACGCUUGGGCUGCUGCUCGCUUGGCCUCAUCCCGUGAAGCAGCGCCCCCGACCCUUUGUUCUCGUUGUCUGCCCUGCAAUCUUCCCAGGCAAUGGGGUGACUGGCGAUACCUUGCAAUCUGCUCAGGCCUGCAUCUUCAUUUGCUCUUUUAGUCCUUCAAGCGUGAGUAUCCUUGAGUUUGUCAGCAAUGCUCCUACCUCCUCUCCUCUGCUUGCUCUGUCCGUGAAAAUACUCUAUUAACAUGGAUGAAUUCAAGCUUACCAUGUGUUUGAUGGAAUGCUCAUAAGAGAUGAGGAAUUAUUUUCCAUCAAUUCUAUAGAAAUUGUAUGCUCAGUAUGCAAGAGUGCAUUUAACUAGUGGCUUUGUGAUAAGAAACAAUUGUUAACAUGUUCAAAAGCUUCUGUUUGCAUGAUGGCACUUGCCGAAGUUUGCAGCAGCUAUGGCAGAUGGUGGGGUGGUAGCAGCUCAGCCUUGAGCACUGAUCGGAUCAGAUGAAGAUUCGGAACAUGUCUAGUUCACUUCAUCAUUCAAAUUACUGCCAAAAUCUAGUUAUUUCAUCACUCGGUGUAUAUAUCCAGGAGAUAGGUGUGGUAUUUUAGAGGAUAAAUAUCCUGACCAUCACUGUAGGAUAAAAUGUUUUGAUUCACAGUAUAUGUUAACACAGAGAAUUGAAUUUUCUCUUGUCCAA